rnacentral:lncRNA from 1 species
CUUCUAGCUAUGAACAUUUGGCAGCAAAUCAGAAUUCAGGAAAAGGGUCUUCUAAUUCUAAGGUCAAUAACAAUCCUUUGUUUGAAGGGAAUGGGGGCAUUCAAGCUAGAUCUUUAAGACUGGAUUUCCCUAAAUUUGAUGGUACUAAUCCAGAGGAAUGGACUCAAAAAGCACAACAGUUUUUUGAAUAUUAUAGAACCCCAAAUGACCAAAGAUUACAAAUAGCAUUAUUUCACAUGGAAGGUAAAACACUCUCAUGGUGUAGCUAGCUGAAGGAUUUAAGCCCAGUCCAAUCCUGGGAUGACUUUGUUUCAGCCCUAGUAGUGAGAUUUGGACCCUCAGCCUACGAGGAUCCUGUUGGGGAAUUCGCUAAACUUAAAAAAACUGGUACUGUUGAAACAUAUCAAACACAAUUUGAAAUGCUAUCUAACAAAAUAAGUGGCUUAUCUGAAGAGUUUAGAAUCAGUACCUUUUUGAGUGGGCUAACAGAUGACUUGAGAAUCACUGUGACUAUGUUUAAACCUUUCACUCUAUCAUCUGCUUUUGGCUUGGCAAGGUUACAGGAAGAGGAGGUAUUAAGGCGUGUCAAAGGCAACAUAAAUAAAUUCCCUACCUACCCAACCACCAACUCACAUUACCCAUCUAGACUCCCGACGCCAGCCCCUACACUUAGACUGCCAGCCCCACCAAAUAAAACCAACCAGAAACAUCAACCUUUCAACAAUCCAAAAGGAACCAAUUUCCCCAUAAAGAGAGUCAAUCCCACUCAAAUGCAGGAAAGGAAAGAAAAGGGACUAUGCUGGUUUUGUGAUGAAAAAUACCACCCAGGACAUAGAUGUAAUAAACCUAAAAUACCUUUUGGAAGGGAUGGAAUGAGAAGAAAAGGACAACGUGGGUGCUGAAGGGGAGGAGGAAUGCUUGGUUGUGAUUGGAACCAAUGAAUGAGAGGUUGGGGAGUUGCUAAGAAUAUCCCUACAUGCUAUAGCUGGAUCAUUAACCCCAAAAACCAUGAGGUUGUUUGAUGAAAUAAAUCAUCACAAAGUUCUGGUUUUGAUUGAUAUAGGAAGCACAUAUAGUUUUAUAGAUCCAUAUGUAACAAGGAAGGCUAAUCUGUCAAAAAAAGAAAGGCACUUAAUAGUUCAGGUGGCUAAUGGUGCCACUCUUCCUUGCCUUGGUCAAUGUAAGGCUGUCUCUCUUACGUUACAAGAUCAUAAGUUUAUGGCUAAUUUAUAUAUGUUGAAUCUUGGAGGAUGUGAUGUAGUUGUGGGGGUUGAUUGGUUAAGUGGGUUAGGAUCUAUUUUAUGGAAUUU